rnacentral:rRNA from 1 species
CCUACGGGAGGCAGCAGUGAGGAAUAUUGGUCAAUGGGCGAGAGCCUGAACCAGCCAAGUCGCGUGAGGGAGUACUGCCCUAUGGGUUGUAAACCUCUUUUGUCGGGGAGCAAAAGCCGGACGUGUCCGGCUGUGAGAGUACCCGAAGAAAAAGCAUCGGCAAACUCCGUGCCAGCAGCCGCGGUAAUACGGAGGAUGCGAGCGUUACACGGAUUUAUUGGGUUUAAAGGGGUCGCAGGCGGAUUUUUAAGUCAGCGGUAAAAACGUGGGGCUCAACCCCGUCCAGCCGUUGAAACUGGGGUUCUGGAGUGUGCGAGAGGUAGGCGGAAUGCGUGGUGUAGGGGUGAAAGGCAUAGAUACCACGCAGAACCCCGAUGGCGAGGGCAGCAUACCGGUGCACAACUGACGCGCAGGCACGAAAGCGUGGGUAUCGAACAGGAUUAGAUACCCGGGUAGUC